rnacentral:rRNA from 1 species
CAGCCGCCGCGGUAAUGCGUAGGGUGCGAGCGUUAAUCGGAAUUACUGGGCGUAAAGCGUGCGCAGGCGGUUGUGUAAGACAGGUGUGAAAUCCCCGGGCUUAACCUGGGAACUGCGCUUGUGACUGCACAGCUAGAGUAUGGCAGAGGGGGGUGGAAUUCCACGUGUAGCAGUGAAAUGCGUAGAGAUGUGGAGGAACACCGAUGGCGAAGGCAGCCCCCUGGGCCAAUACUGACGCUCAUGCACGAAAGCGUGGGGAGCAAACAGGAUUAGAUACCCCCGUAGUCCCUGUCUCUUAUAC